UUUCCCAAUCAAAACUCAAGCUCACUCUAACUUCAGUUUCUCCUCUUAUGAAUACUCUGAACACCGACGCUUGCGAUACAGAAAUAGAGAAGGAGGAAAAAAAAAAAAAAAAAAAAAAAACCUUGCGAUAUAGAGAUGAGAAGGAGACAGAGUUCGUUCACUUGCCAGAAUUAUACCACUCGAACUGGAGGUAACCUAAAGGUGCACGCAGGAAUUGAGAUACAAACAUAGAGAGAACUACCACCGGUUUGGAGAUGGCAAAGAUAGAGAAAUAAGAGAGAAUCUGAAUUCGUUAUUUGGAUAGAGCAUUGGUAACAAGAGAAAUCUAUCAUCUUCCUGUCAGAACGCUAGAAACCUUUAUCGGGUGAUACUAUUGCACUUCCUCUUUUUUUUUUUUUUUUUGGCAACACAAAGCUUUAACUUAGCCUCAUUUGAUCAAUUGCUUCCAAGGAUAUUCUCAGCAUUCUCUUUUAGCUAGGAUUUUUUUCACCUUAAUUGCUAGAAAUAUUUUGUAUCCAUCCCAAGGGAUGUUACCAUUAACCUUUUUUAUUUGGGAAAAAGUUACCGUUCACUUUAGUUGCUUAUAAUAUGCUUAAAAGAAAUCUAUUUGUAAGAAUCAUAUUGUGAUGGAAAUUAUAUGUGUUAUUAUACGACUCUUCUAAAACUAUUU